ACGGCGAGUGAACCGGGAAAAGCUCAAAUUUGAAAUCUGGCUGUCUUCGAUAGUCCGAGUUGUAAUCUAUAGAAGUGUUUUCCGUGCUGAACUGUGUCUAAGUCCCUUGGAACAGGGUAUCAAAGAGGGUGACAAUCCCGUACUUGACACAAUCAUCAGUGCUCUGUGAUACACUUUCUACGAGUCGAGUUGUUUGGGAAUGCAGCUCAAAAUGGGUGGUAAAUUCCAUCUAAAGCUAAAUAUUGGCGAGAGACCGAUAGCGAACAAGUACCGUGAGGGAAAGAUGAAAAGCACUUUGGAAAGAGAGUUAAACAGUACGUGAAAUUGUUGAAAGGGAAACGAUUGAAGUCAGUCGUGUUCAUUGGAUUCAGCUAGUUCUUCUAGUCUACUUCCUUUGAACGGGUCAACAUCAGUUUUGUCCGGUGGAUAAAGGCAGUAGGAAUGUGGCUUCUUCGGAAGUGUUAUAGCCUAUUGUCACAUACACUGGAGGAGACUGAGGACUGCAGCUCGCCUUUUGGCCGGGGUUCGCCCACGUUCGAGCUUAGGAUGUUGACAUAAUGGCUUUAAACGACCCGUCUUGAACCACGGACCAAA
rnacentral:rRNA from 1 species